GUCCAUCUAACGAGUCCCCAAUAGGAUGAAACGUGCGUCAUGUAU
rfam:Schistosoma margrebowiei strain Zambia genome assembly, scaffold: SMRZ_contig0002652